AGGAAUUGGAUUUUGCCCAACGAUUUCAAACGUUUUUAUUGGAGAGAAGACAUUUAUUGCAUCCCCGGGGACGUGAGGCAAAAAAUACCGUGCCCUCCGAGAUGAGGCUGCCAUUGGGUUUUCAGUUUGAUGCACCUAUUUCUAAGCGCUACCCUAAAUAAAUAAGCGGCAAAGCAUUCCUAGCUUCUUGGUGAAAAAGAAGCGUGCGACCCGGGGGAAGCGAAGGGAGCGCACCUGCCUGGACUGCUCUGCCGUAGCGCCGGGGUCAGAGAUGCACUGAGUCAUCCCGGUGCACAGAGUGGGGCACGCAGGGUAAAUUGAUUCUCAUCUCUGCGAGAUUUCCUCGUUUGUUCGCUAGCUGUAGGAGGGGAUUUCCAUAGUAAUGCGACCUGUCUCCGCGCUCCAUUAAUCGUCUCCCAAGUGAUGUAGAUCAUCCUGGUUGAACAGAUAGGUAAUGGAGGAGCGCUGAGUGCCCGAGCAACGCAUCUGAAAGGAACAGUUUUAGGAAUAUCAUAAAGAGAUCGUUUUUGUGAUUCCAAGCCAGGCCGAGUUGUUCUGAUGUCCGCAGCAGCUGGAAGAGAAAACCAUACAACGGCUGAUGGAGUUGGCUGCAGCAAGAAAAUCACAUCUCAGUUCCCAGGAUUUCAGAAAGAUGGGCCUCCUCCGAUAGUUGCAAAUCUCUGCAAAACGUUCUGGUGCUGCUGUGCACUGGUUUGAUCAGAUCUUGGCGAUUUCCUCCUGCGUGCACUCCAUGGCUCUGCUCUUGAGGAUGGAUGAUGCUACCCGGAACUGUGUCUGAUUCAGUGUGCUGAAGGAGGAGAGAAGGGGGAUGCGGAGUUGAUCUUCAAAACUGGCCCGCGUAUUUUGGGUCUGAGCCGUUGGCAGCACUGCUGUGCUGAUUCCCCUUCGUCUAAGCGUUCCUGACCGAUCCGUGCCUUGCCCGGAGCGGAAAGGUAAAGAGAGGUCCUUCCGUUUGUGUCGGAGAUGGCUUCUUUCCUGGGCUGGCUUUCUUUGCGGCGUAGGUACGCCGAACCCUGCCGCUUUCCAGUGCCCUUUUUCAGAAGGUUACGCUUCUCUGUGAAAGCGGUAGGUGGCAAGAAAAGGAGAUGGUGAAGCGCUGGCAACACCCAGUGGGUUCGUUAGCUGCUCUUUGCCAUUCGGCCUGAAGGGGCCCGUUCGAAUCACCUGAAAGGUCUCCAGCAGGUAUCUGCAUUGAUAUCUGAUACAGAUAUCUGUAUUGAUAUCUGCUGCAAAGCUAUCUCUGAUGGGACAUUCCAAAGCACGGCCUGCUUUACCCCAUGCCGUGAUUUUCCGGGCCUUGUCCCUCCUGUUAUCAGUGGGAGCGGUCUCCCCAUGGCAGAGCAGAGAUACAAGCUCAGCUUUAGCCCUGAUGCCCCAAUAACUUUCAUUCAUUUCAUCUGUUCACAUGGUGCUGUGAAACUUGCUGGCUUAAUCACUCCUCCCAGGGAUUCUUCUGCUCGGAACUGAACACCGGUGAACACAAAAUGCAUACAUACAUACAAAAGGUUUACCAGUGCUGUUUCCAGAAGUGUAAGCCCGUGGAUUUUAGGAACUGCAUCUCAGACUGUG
ensembl:lncRNA